AACGGCAUGUCACCGUGUGCCUCGCGGCCUUCCAUCCACCGCCCAGCCAGAAUCCAACGGACAGCAGCACUCCAAGGCAAAAACAACAUCCAGACACAGACCAAAUCGAGCACGGGUCAGCAGAAAAAUCUGGCGGGGAAGGCAAGGAAAAGGCGGGCUUUGGCGCGGCGAUUCGCCGGCGUCUCCUCGCCUCGCGGCCUUCGCCGGCCGCCGCCGCCGUCAGCCGUCGCCACUGAGGAGAGGCAGGGAUGAGCGCCGUCCGCCGCGGGAACCAGGGCCGAACGCCUCCGCGGGUCGGGGACAAGCGCCGUCCGCCGCGGGAGCCGAGGACGAGCGCCGCCGCGAGCUGGGGACCGUUCAUCAUCGUCAGCGACCUCUUCUCAGGCCCCCUCUCUCUCUCUCUUAUUCCAUUAGUGCCAGAGGCGGAGCCAGCUCCCGGGCUCGUCCGGCAACUCUUCACUGCAGAUUAGUCUGAUUACUUGCUUAGUAGUGAUUUUUGUUGGGGCAAAGCUAGCUGACAUCGCUAUGCACGAGCUUUGCCCAGGCUCCUCGCGUUGUCUCUGAUUAGUGCACUCAGAUGCAGGCAACAAAAUUGAAAUUAGUAUUUGUAUACUGGUAGAGCUAACCAUAAUGUACCUCCUGCUGUGGUAUUUGAUAUAAUUGGUUGUCCAGUCACCGGUAUAAUACUAAUAGUGACAAACUAUACUCUGAAUAAAUAUGGAGACUUGCAGCACUACACUCUGAAAAUAUUAGUCAGCACUACACUCUGAAUAAAUAUGGAGACUUGCAGCGAGUUAAGUACUUAUGUGCAUCUCGAUAAGACUAUAAUCUGCUAAGCUUUGUGGUUUCAACAUAGGAACUACUUCUAUUUUGAGUCUGCACUACAUUUCUGAAUAAAUAUAGAGACUUGCAGCGAGUAUUGUACUUCUAUUUUGAGUAUACACUGUGGAAUUUGGCAGAAUUGUGCGUUGUACGAUGGGAUCGAUUAGCAACAGGAUACCCGAAGUUGGUAUGCGGUUCAGAAAUUCGGAUGAGGCUUGGGAGUUCUGGGUGCAAUAUGGAGGUCACAUAGGCUUUGAUGUGAGGAAAAGAAAUACCAUCAGAAGCAGAAUUGAUGGAACAAUCACUUCAUGUAGAUUUGUUUGUUCCAAUGAAGACAUUCGAAGGAAAAGUCAAAUAGAUCACAAGCCGAAGCGCAUUAGAGCUGAAACAAGAACCAAUUGUAAAGUUCGGAUGAUUGUUUCAUUUGAUCGAGUGGCCAAAUUUUUUGAAGUCACCGGAGUUGAUUUGGAACACAAUCACCUCCUUCAAUUGCCACAAACCUGUCACUUGUUGGCAUCACAAAGGAAGAUUUCAGAUGUGCAAGCUUUAGAGAUAGAAAUAGCCGAUGAUUCUGGAAUUAUGCCAAAAGCUUCACAUGAGGUUGCAUGUCGUCGAGCUGGUGGGAAGUUCAACGUUGGUUACACUUUGACUGACCAAAAGAAUCAUUUGCGAACCAAGCGGCAGCGGGAGAUGGCUUAGGGACAGGCCGGUAGUAUGUUGAAGUUCUUUCGUGACAAGAUAGCUGGGAAUCCAUCAUUCCAAUAUCAUUUGCAGUUGGAUUGUGAGGAGCAUAUAGCCAACAUAUUCUGGGUUGAUGCUAAAAUGCUACUUGACUAUGCACACUUUGGUGAUGUUGUCACUUUUGACACUACAUUUGGCACGAACAAAGAGUAUAGGCCAUUUGGUAUUUUUCUUGGGCUCAAUCAGUUUAGAGAAACAACCAUUUUUGGUGCUGCAUUGAUGUUUGAUGAAACACGCGACUCAUUUAUAUGGCUCUUUGAGACAUUUCUAGCCGCACACAAUGAAAGGCAGCCUAGAACUAUCGAUACCGAUCAAGAUGCAGCAAUGGGAGGAGCCAUAGAGAAGGUCUUCACAGAAUCAUAUCAUGGACUGUGUACAUUUCAUAUCAUGCAAAAUGCUGUCAAACAUUUAACUCAAGUGGGAGUGGAGGAUGAAGUGGAGGAUGAAGAAAAAGAGCCUCAUAUUCUCACAGAUUUUGGUGCUUGUAUGUAUGGAUAUGAGGACAAGGCAACAUUUGAAGAAGCGUUUGACAAUAUGAGGCUCAAAGUGCAUAAGCAAACUUGGUUAGAUAGCAUCUACAAGGUGAAAGAAAAAUGGAGUGAGAAGUACACAAUUAAGUGAGAGCUUCAACAAUGCGUUGAAAAAUCAUUUGAAAUCAGAUUUUCAUAUUCUUCGGUUCUUGAUGCAUUUUGAGAGGACGGUGGAAGUAAAAAGAACAAAGGAAUUGGAAUCUGAAUUCAAUGCAAGAAAAUAUAUACCGAGAAUUAAGAUGUUCACUCCUAUGUUGGUGGAAGCAAGCAAAGUGUACACUUUGAUUAUAUUUGAAGCUUUCCAAGCCAAAAAAGAAGAAGGAUGGUGUGCAAAAAAAGAAGGAUGGUGUGCAAAAGAAGAAGGAUGGUGUGCAACAAAAGAAGAAGGAUGAUGUACAGCCUCAAGUACUAGUGGAGAAGUGUGACAACACCAAAGGAGUAAAUAUGGAGCCCCAAGAGUGCAAUGCUAUCAUGAGUUUCACCCAGCUCUUGAUGGCUCCGCCUUGUGGUGAGGAUGAUCUGUUCUAGCGUGCAAGUCCGCUAGAAGUAUUUUGGACAUAGCUAAGUGUAGUAUUUUGGGCUAACUAUAGUCGUCUUUUGGGGCCUAAGUGUACAAAUCAAAUGGCACUAAAUGGCUGUUAAGAGCUCACUGAAUUCACUGGAAAGUGGUACUGAAACUUCAAAUCAUGUACUUCUGAAUUACUUGUGAUGAAGUGGGUUGUCUGAAUCUAAAUAGUGAUGAAUGGCAUGUCUGAAUUUCUUAUGAAUAUGAAUGUAAACAGUAUAUUUGACUGUUGUUUGUACUGUUUCCGGACUAAAAGGCUGAUGUUUAUA